rnacentral:lncRNA from 1 species
AUCACCAUUAACUGCUUUCUCUCUUCCUUCUUCCUCUUCUUCUUCCUCCGUCUCCUCCUCGUGAACCCUCCCAUUAGCCCUAUCUUCCACAACGGUUCCCCCGCCGCCGCCAUAGUCGCAGUUUCUACACUUGUUGGCCAUGGAGGUCGCGUAGAGACGCUCCACGAUGUUGUCUCUCCUCUGCUUCAGCUCGUGACCGUAGUCAAGCGACGCCACGAGGAUCGCAGUGUCGAUGAAUGUCCAAACAUCGACGCCGGCGUUGUCCAUAACCGUCCGGAAAUCAUCCAAAUCCAUUACAGCAAUCCACAAAUUUUGAAACUUUAAUUUAAAAAAAAAAACAGAGCAGCUGAUUUGUUAUUACAGCACCAGAUCUAAAAAAAUUCAAUAAAGAUUCAAAUUCGAUUGAGAAAGUAAUGAGAAUCAGAUUUAAAUAAACAGAUCAAAGGGAGAGGCUUUCGAGAUUUUGAUGAAGCUUUACUGUUACAGAGGAACAGAGAGAUUGAAAGAAAGAAAGAAAUGAAACAGAGGUCACAAAGCAAUAAGGAAGAAAGGAAGAUGAGAGAAAUGGGAAUUUUCCAAAUUUGAGGCUUUAGAAUUUGUUUAUUCCUUUUCACUCAUUCUUCUCCAAGUUUUCUCUUUUUUUUGUUCUUUCCGGUAAAAUAUUCUUUCAGACAAAACCAAUUGGAAAAUUUAAAAGAAAAACGAAAGGGGGUUAGCUUUAAUCAGGAUGCUCUUGUCCUGGACAGAGACCAAAGCAAAGCUAGUUGGUUUGUUGUGGUUGGGGGAGAUGAACAGCUUAUGGAGAGAGAGAGAGAGAAGUUAUCAAUAAUGGCGUUUACUUUUGGAAGACAAAACGGAAAAUUAAAAAAAUAACAACACGAUGUUCACACUUUGGUUAUUGGGCCUAUGUUAGGCCCAAAGUAAGUGGAGACAAAACGGAUGCUGAAACAAAUAAAUGUUUUACAUGCUUUAGUUAAUGGGCGGGCCCUACAAAGUGAAUCUAACGAUUCCCGGUUGGACUAGUCCGGUUUUUGAAAACAAUUGCUAAAAAGGAUGGUUUCAUCUGUAAUUGUUGAGAAGAAAAAUGUUUGAAUGUGAUUCUCUUGUUGUACGAACUCUCUCUUCUAGCUUCUCUCUCUGAGACUUUUUGGUAAGCACGAAUGAGUCAAAGUCAACGUGACUUUUUUGACUGGAAACUUUUGGAGGCAUUCAAGUCAUGGAGCGUUGUUCAGUGAACUCAACGAGAAGUAGAAUAUAGAGAAUUUUUAUUAUCAUCUAAUUACAUACUCCUUCUAUUUUAUAUUAAGUGUAACUUUAGAUUUGUAUACACAGAUUAAGAAAACAUUUAAUUUUAUAUAUUUUAUAUAUAAAAAUAUUAUUAACCACAUAUCUAAUCAUAGUUUAACUAAUUAGAGAAUAGAGAAUACCCGAGCUACUUUCUCUCCCAGGCACUUUACUCGAGUAAAGUCCUUACCCGGCAGAUACUGGCGAACCUCCUCUGACCCCCCGUCAGCUUUUUCCCCUUCUAGCUAAAAGUCUCUGCAACUUUCCGGUUUGUUUUGAAUCUGCUAUCACUUUUAGAAACAUCCACCGGGUUUUUGCAAGUUCUGCGCAAAAAUCUGCCGGGUUCUUUCCCCCGACCCGGGUCGGAGGGACCGCCGCCGCUGCACUUCGCCGGAACACUCCUCUCAUGAUCUCCUACUGAAUGCUGUGUGGUUGAUGAACUCUGUUUCAUUACCACACUAGUUUUUCAAGCUGGUCAGAAAGAUAUCUCCCACCUCAGUGUGGUUUUAAUCCCACUCUACUGUUGUAUGCAGUUACUUGUUGUUUUUCAGUCCUACUACCGUGUGUAGUCUUGUUUUCAUCGACAAAAACUAAAAGAUAAGCUCAACAAAGAUUACAAUCCUCACUUUACAUUGACCCGUUUAUUAGACAUUUAUUUACAUUGACAGCAACUGAAUAAAAAAAAAUUCCAGCAAACUGUGAAUCUGCACAAAAAUGAACAAUAAAAAUGUCAGUUAUUUAGAUAUAAAUUGGCAUCAAGCAAGAGAAUCAAUUCUUAAGAAAAGAACUAGAUACAAGCAUCAUUGUGUAAACACACAAAUAUGGUAAACUUGAAUUUCAGAAUAUAUUAUUCAUAAAAUCCAACAAAAUUAUGUUCUUAAUCAGCAAAUAAAAAAUAUAAUAACAAAAUGGAAAACAAGUGUACGCACCAACUUAAUUCCAAAUACUUGAAACAUACUUUUAGACCUCUUGUGCCUGUCUCAAAAAACAGAGCUUUGUUCUCUGUCUUUUACAUUCCUCUACUAACUCGUUUCACUCAACUCUCUUCAUCACCUUCUUCAUUUAGUCUACCAGUGUCUACCACCUCCCUGAGAACUCCCACCUUUUCUUGGGAAAAAUCCACCUUUCUUGGGUUUAGGGAUCUCAUGAAUGUCCAUCACCUGUAUAGUCCUUUGCUUUUUAGCUGCAUUCAAAACAUAACCAACCCAAAGUCAGUUCAGUUCACAAAACAAUCUAUUAACUUAGUAGAGAUUUUUAAACUAAACCAUUCUCCGCAUGUCUGUAGUUUUGUUGUAGUCUUUUCCGAGCCGAGUCAAAAUCAAUUUCUUUAUGCUCCUUCUCCCUCUGCAAUUCCCCCAAAAACCAAACUGACAUUAAGCAUUAAGAAGACUUGGAACACCGAUAACUAAGAUCCUUGUUUGGCAAAAUGUACCUGAAUGGGUUGUUGUUGAGAAGGAGAAGGACGAGAAGGUUUAGCAGGAGAAGGAGAUUCUCUCCUAGGAGGAGGAGGAGCAACAGGUCUAGGCUUCCUCUCUGGCUUAGUGAUGUUACUAUGCUUACUUGCUUGAGGAACUGGUGAAUACCCAAAGUCAGGAACCUGCACACAGAAGAACAAGAGUUGAAGAAACUCAAUGAUAAAACCAAUAAAACAAAAAGGGUUUUUGGUUUUUACCUGUUGGUGGACAGCUCUCUGCUGCGGUGAGUCCUCAUCAGCUAUUAAACUCGGAGGAUGGAGAUCACCAGGCUGGUUGAAUUUGACCCAUUCGUCCACUGUUUCUUUCCAUUUUCUGCAAGAGAGAGACAAAAGUAGAAAUCAAAGAGUGGUUUCCUAAUGAAUAUUGAGAAAGAGAAAAAAGUUUUUACUUGACAAGUUGUUUAGCUAAUCUCCGAACUUCGUUGGAUGGAUGCUUCCGAACUCGAUCUCUAUUCACAUACCUCCCAAUAUCAGUUUCCUAAAAUUGACCAAACAAAAGAUAAGUUCAGAAACAAUAGUGUUUGUAUUAGAAUUUGAUCUCAACCUGAAGAGCUUGGAAUGUAAUCUCCAUAUCUUCCAGAUUCUGAAGCAACUCCACCAAAGCUUCUUCUGUCUGAAACCACCAAACUAAUUAAAAUCCUUUUUUUUUAAAACACACAAAAAAGAAUCAAUAUUGAGAUUAUACCAGAUUAGGUUCUUCAAGCUUCUCUUUGAUUUCAAGAAUACUCUUCUGCUCAUCAUCAAACAAACCAGCAAACGGAUCCUCAUCGUCCUCUUCGUCAUCACCAUUAACUGCUUUCUCUCUUCCUUCUUCCUCUUCUUCUUCCUCCGUCUCCUCCUCGUGAACCCUCCCAUUAGCCCUAUCUUCCACAACGGUUCCCCCGCCGCCGCCAUAGUCGCAGUUUCUACACUUGUUGGCCAUGGAGGUCGCGUAGAGACGCUCCACGAUGUUGUCUCUCCUCUGCUUCAGCUCGUGACCGUAGUCAAGCGACGCCACGAGGAUCGCAGUGUCGAUGAAUGUCCAAACAUCGACGCCGGCGUUGUCCAUAACCGUCCGGAAAUCAUCCAAAUCCAUU